rnacentral:rRNA from 1 species
ACGUCAAAUCAUCAUGCCCCUUAUGUCCUGGGCUACACACGUGCUACAAUGGCCGGUACAACAAGAAGCGAUACCGCGAGGUGGAGCAAAUCUCCAAAACCGGCCCCAGUUCGGAUUGUAGGCUGCAACUCGCCUACAUGAAGCCGGAGUUGCUAGUAAUCGCAGAUCAGAAUGCUGCGGUGAAUGCGUUCCCGGGUCUU